rnacentral:rRNA from 1 species
AAUUUUAUUAUUACCAAUAUUAUUAAUUGUUAGUGGUAAUAUAUAAAUUUUAAUUGGGGUGAUUAAGGAAUAAAAAGUUUAUUAUUUAGUAACUUCCUUAGUAAAUAUAAAUUGUUAAAUAAAGUAACCAAUAUAAAUAAAUAUUAUUGCUUAUAUUAUAGUUA